UUGGGAAAGAGUAAUUUAUUGCCAAUUCAAAAUAGAGUAGGAUGGUAAGAAAUGAAAACGAAACUGAAAACACCUUCCCUCCACUCCUCUCUUCUUCCUAGGCUCAACUUCACUCCUCAUUCCUGACUCUUCUACCUCCUCUCUCCCCAAGCAGUGCAAUGGUGGUUAGGGGAUAUGGAUUACAGUCAGUUCAUAAACCACCAUCUCUGCUGCUCAUUCCUCUUCAUGUUGCUCCCCUGCUCCAGCAUGGAGUCCCUCCCCUGGGAUACUGUCCUUCAUGAACUGCCCCAACAUAGUUUCUUCUCACAGGUUGCACCUCUGAACCCAUGGGUCCUUUCCAUAGGGUAUAGUCCAUCUGGAAAAGGCUGCUCCAGUGCCAGUCCCUAGUGAGCCACAGUUCCUGCCAGGAACUUGCUCCUAUAUGGCCUCUCCAUGGGCUGCAACUUCCUUCAGGGCACAUCCACCUGCUGCAGCACGGGGUUUUCCACAGGUUGCAGUGUGGAUAUCCUCUCUGGCAUGGUCCUCUGUGGGCUGAAGAGGGACAAUCUGCUCCAUCUUGAUCUUCUCCAUGCGCUGCAGAGGAAUCUACUGCAGUGCCUGGAGUAGAUUCCUUCUCUCUUUCCCCACUGACCUUGAGUCUGCAGAGCCGUUUCUCUCACGAUUUUCUUACUCUUCUGUCUCACAGCUGCACAUAGUGUAUAUUUACCUUUUAUUAAGUAUGUUUUCACAGAGGUGCCAUCAGCUUUGCAGUUUCACGUUGCAGUGUCCCGUAGUUGCUCUGUUUUGGAGCUAGUUGGAACUAGCUAUGUCUAGCAUGGCUGAAGCCCCUGGCUUCUCACCGAGGCUAUCACUGCAGCUUCCCCACUGCCAAAGCCUUGCCACAUAGACCCAGUAAAAUGUCAAAUGCCAUGUUUCCUCUAACAAGGUAUGUUAACUCCAGGCAGUUCGAUGAUAAACACAUUAGAUGAUUGAAUUUCCAAGGGGAAAAAUGUCCAUGUUUGACCUUAACAUGUUAUGUAAUGAUUUGAAGCGUAGCUGCUCUGUAUGUUUCUUCACAUAGCCCACACUUAAAUCAGUUUGGGUCACACAGAAGUCCAAAGUGGAAGAACUUCUGUUUCUCUAAUGAGUUCCAAAUUCCUACCUCUGUUUGCAAUGCUUUCAAGGAAAAAAAAUAAAAAUCCAGGGUUUACUCUCUACUGUUGCAUGCAUGACCAUGUUGCUUUUGGUUUGCAAAUAUUCCACAACAGUCUGAAGGCAUUGUCUGCCACAUAUAUUAAAUAAAUAAAUAAAAAUUAUAGGUGACCUUUCAUAAUGAAUUAGUUCAGCUUCACUCCUUCCUAAUAUACCCUCUUAGGCUGUAUGGUUUAGAAAGUUAUACAGACAAAUCCUCUUCAUAUUGUGAUAGUGUUCAUUUCCCCUUAAUUCUUUUCUUCCUUCCAACUAUAGUCUUUUCUCCUCCCCCAGUUUUCAGUCAUGCUCAAAAAAAAGAAAACCCUCACUUUUCUCCCUCACCUGCUUGAAUUCAAAUGUAGGUGAUAACCAAUAUAGAUGAAACAUCAGAAAAGCCCCUGUCAGCCUCAAAGCAGUUAUUUGUCCAUUUUUGCCUGUACAGUCCACUUCGUUGCUGUCCAUAUUCUUCAUUCCCCAGCCUUUGAAGAGACUGUGUUCUAGUUGCAUUGUCACAGGUAGUCCUGCAGAAGUAUGAGGAGCAAUGCACUUGAGUAAAAUGGCUAGAAUUUUGCAUUUGGCUUCUGAUAGUCAUUCACUUCCAUUGAAAUAACAUGUAUAUGGCCUAACAUCACACUUCUUUUGUGUAUCUGACUGCUGUUCAGCAUGGAAGAAAAUCAUUGUGGGAAAAGAGAUUCUUAAUGUCUGCCAGACAUACGGUUAUAAGUUUUUAGUUCUGAGCCUUAAAUAUCCCCUAGAAUAUAUGGUACAUGAGUACCUGAUUGCUUGCCUUUGUGGUUUAGCUAGAUUUUCUGAAAUCUUGUUUGGAG
ensembl:lncRNA